UUGCGGUUAAAAAGCUCGUAGUUGGAUCUCGGCGGGCAGGGGGUGGUUCGCUCUUCAGUGCUACUGCCCCGCUUUGCCCGUGUGAUUGGCGGAGGUUUCGGGGUGCUCUUCGUUGAGUGACUCGGAGCGCCGUCAGGUUUACUUUGAAAAAAUUAGAGUGCUCAAAGCAGGCUUUUCACGCUUGAAUAUUCGUGCAUGGAAUAAUGGAAUAGGAACUCGUUUCUAUUUUGUUGGCUUUCGGAAAUCGAGUUAAUGAUUAACAGGGACAAUUGGGGGCAUUAGUAUUCAGACGACAGAGGUGAAAUUCUUGGACCGUCUGAAGACUGACUACUGCGAAAGCAUUUGCCAAGAGUGUUUUCAUUAAUCAAGAACGAAAGUUAGAGGUUCGAAGGCGAUCAGAUACCGCCCUAGUUCUAACCAUAAACGAUGCCAGCUAGCGAUCUGCCGAGUUUUUUUUGUAGGCUCCGCAGGAAGCUUUCGGGAAACCAAAGCUUUUGGGUUCCGGGGGAAGUAUGGUUGCAAAGCUGAAACUUAAGGAAUUGGCGAAGGCACCACAGA
rnacentral:rRNA from 1 species